UACGAAGGGGGCUAGCGUUGCUCGGAAUCACUGGGCGUAAAGCGCACGUAGGCGGGUCCUUAAGUCGGGGGUGAAAUCCCGGAGCUCAACUCCAGAACUGCCUUUGAUACUGAGGAUCUUGAGUUCGGGAGAGGUGAGUGGAACUGCGAGUGUAGAGGUGAAAUUCGUAGAUAUUCGCAAGAACACCAGUGGCGAAGGCGGCUCACUGGCCCGAUACUGACGCUCAGACACGAAAGCUAGGGGAGCGAACGGG
rnacentral:rRNA from 1 species